UACGAAGGGGGCUAGCGUUGCUCGGAAUUACUGGGCGUAAAGCGCACGUAGGCGGAUUGCUAAGUCAGGGGUGAAAUCCUGGAGCUCAACUCCAGAACUGCCUUUGAUACUGGCAACCUUGAGUCCGGGAGAGGUGAGUGGAACUGCGAGUGUAGAGGUGAAAUUCGUAGAUAUUCGCAAGAACACCAGUGGCGAAGGCGGCUCACUGGCCCGAUACUGACGCUGAGGCACGAAAGCGUGGGGAGCAAACAGG
rnacentral:rRNA from 1 species